rnacentral:rRNA from 1 species
UGGGGAAUUUUGGACAAUGGGGGCAACCCCUGAUCCAGCCAUCCCGCGUGUGCGAUGAAGGCCUUCGGGUUGUAAAGCACUUUUGGCAGGGAAGAAACAGCCUGGGAUAAUACCCCCGGGGCGACUGACGGUACCUGCAGAAUAAGCACCGGCUAACUACGUGCCAGCAGCCGCGGUAAUACGUAGGGUGCAAGCGUUAAUCGGAAUUACUGGGCGUAAAGCGUGCGCAGGCGGUUCGGAAAGAAAGGUGUGAAAUCCCAGGGCUUAACCUUGGAACUGCACUUUUAACUACCGAGCUAGAGUACGUCAGAGGGGGGUAGAAUUCCACGUGUAGCAGUGAAAUGCGUAGAGAUGUGGAGGAAUACCGAUGGCGAAGGCAGCCCCCUGGGAUGAUACUGACGCUCAUGCACGAAAGCGUGGGGAGCAAACAGGAUUAGAUACCCUGGUAGUCCACGCCCUAAACGAUGUCAACUAGCUGUUGGGGUUUAUUAACCUUAGUAGCGCAGCUAACGCGUGAAGUUGACCGCCU